AAAAAAAGACCUUGGAAAUAUGGCAUCAACUUCUCCCAUGACAGGAAAAAGGUCAUCAAGUGUUGGUGAAGUGUGAAGCAUUUAGCAACUGACCUGUACUUGGGAGGCCUCGACAUUGUGCAAGCAGUGGAAGAGAAUGCGAGCAUUUUCCAGCCUGCCCUGAGAGAGAGAGUCCCUCCCAUUGUUCUCCCUCUGAGCCGAGUAGGAACCGCGCACAUCUGAAUAACAGGGUCUUUUCUGCCUGGCGCAAUCCUGGAUUGUUACAGUCUAGAGGCCAGCCAUGCUGUCACCGGCACAAAUUGAUUUAACCAUCAAUUGCUGUGGUCAUUAAAGCUGCUAAAAGUCCCCGCCAAA